GAGCGUGAUUACCUCAAUUUGUUUUUAAAGAAAUUUAAAGGAGUCUAGCAGUAUUAAUGCUAUGUUACAAGCUUUAAGGUCAUUGUAGACAAUAAAGUCCCUAAAAGUAGUCAUAAUA
rnacentral:snoRNA from 1 species